GACGAACCGUGCGAACGUUGUUCGGAAUCACUGGGCUUAAAGGGCGCGUAGGCGGGCUGACAAGUCUGGGGUGAAAUGCCGCGGCUCAACCGCGGAACUGCCUCAGAUACUGACGGUCUCGAGGGGGGUAGGGGCGAGCGGAACUGAUGGUGGAGCGGUGAAAUGCGUUGAUAUCAUCAGGAACUCCGGUGGCGAAGGCGGCUCGCUGGACCUCUUCUGACGCUGAGGCGCGAAAGCUAGGGGAGCAAACGGG
rnacentral:rRNA from 1 species